rnacentral:rRNA from 1 species
AUUGAACGCUGGCGGCAGGCCUAACACAUGCAAGUCGAACGGCAGCACAGAGGAGCUUGCUCCUUGGGUGGCGAGUGGCGGACGGGUGAGGAAUACAUCGGAAUCUGCCUAUUUGUGGGGGAUAACGUAGGGAAACUUACGCUAAUACCGCAUACGACCUACGGGUGAAAGCGGAGGACCUUCGAGCUUCGCGCAGAUAGAUGAGCCGAUGUCGGAUUAGCUAGUUGGCGGGGUAAAGGCCCACCAAGGCGACGAUCCGUAGCUGGUCUGAGAGGAUGAUCAGCCACACUGGAACUGAGACACGGUCCAGACGCCUACGGGAGGCAGCAGUGGGGAAUAUUGGACAAUGGGCGCAAGCCUGAUCCAGCCAUGCCGCGUGGGUGAAGAAGGCCUUCGGGUUGUAAAGCCCUUUUGUUGGGAAAGAAAAGCAGUCGGUUAAUACCCGAUUGUUCUGACGGUACCCAAAGAAUAAGCACCGGCUAACUUCGUGCCAGCCGCCGCCGUAA